rnacentral:snRNA from 1 species
GCCUGUGAGGGCAACCUGACUGUGACAUCUGUCACCCCAUUGAUCAGAGUUGAGGUGGCCGAUCUGGCCGGCUAGGCAGUGUCCCUUCCUCUCGCAUGUCUCCAUGUGUGUCCCUCCCAACACUGUGUGCUUGGUGGAGGAGGUCGACGCUCCCUGAGAGAGGAGGCCCUUUCUGUCCAGGUACAGGAGCCGCCGGCUGCGCUGCCGGAACCUCCACACAAGCUCUCGGGAGCCAGGCAGGUGUACUUCCGCCUCUGUCCUCAUGGUCAUCUGGC